GUAACACAGGAGGAGACUGAGCAAUUUGAGCUUUGAGAUUUCACUAGGGGUGGUAUUAUUGAGUGGGUCCAUGACAGUAUGGAAAAGGUGCUGAUGUGCUUUAAAGAUUGUCUUGAAAAAUAUUGCUCUGGAGUAUGAUGCAUGAAAAGAAAAACUAGCAAAGUUCUGAAAGUCAGCACUCAUAACCUACAAGAAAGAACUAGAGAAAGUUGUAAUCACUCU